GGCUCAGAACGAACGCUGGCGGCGCGUUUAAGCAUGCAAGUCGCAGGGUAAAAUUUAGCAAUAGAAUUGAGACUGGCGAACGGGUGAGUAACACGUGAAAAUCUACCUUGAGAUGGGGGAUAGCCGGUAGAAAUAUCGGGUAAUACCGCAUAUGCCGAGAGGUGAAAGGGGCAACUGCUCCGUCUUGAGAUGAGUUUGCGUCUGAUUAGAUAGUUGGCGAGGUAAAGGCUCACCAAGUCUACGAUCAGUAGCCGGCCUGAGAGGGUGAUCGGCCACAUUGGGACUGAGACACGGCCCAGACUCCUACGGGAGGCAGCAGCUAAGAAUAUUCCGCAAUGGGAGAAAUCCUGACGGAGCGACGCCGCGUGAACGAUUGAAAAGGCAGAAAUGUUGUAAAGUUCUUUUAUUAGGGAAGAAUAAGGCUGGUAGUGGAAAGAUCAGUCGAUGACGGUACCUAAUGAAUAAGCCACGGCUAACUACGUGCCAGCAGCCGC
rnacentral:rRNA from 1 species